rnacentral:misc_RNA from 1 species
UAAUAAGUGUUUUUAUGGCACUUUUUAAAUCCAUAUCACACCUUGUGUUGCAAUGUCGAGUCGAUCUUCUUUUUCUAUGGAGAUCGACCAAACAAUCAACCUUUAUCUUUUUAACUCUUUGUCUGAAAAAUAUUAUGAUAAUAAACAAUUCAAAAAUA